rnacentral:rRNA from 1 species
CCUACGGGUGGCAGCAGUGGGGGAUAUUGCACAAUGGGGGAAACCCUGAUGCAGCGACGCCGCGUGUGGGAAGACGGUCCUCUGGAUUGUAAACCACUGUCCCCAGGGACGAAGAUGACGGUACCUGGGGAGGAAGCUCCGGCUAACUACGUGCCAGCAGCCGCGGUAAUAAGUAGGGAGCGAGCGGUGUCCGGAAUGACUGGGUGAAAAGGGAGCGUAGGCGGGACUGCAAGUUGGGUGUCAAAUCUACCGGCUCAACCGGUAGCCGCACUCAAAACUGCAGUUCUUGAGUGAAGUAGAGGCAGGCGGAAUGCCUAGUGUAGCGGUGAAAGGCGUAGAUAUUAGGAGGAACACCAGUGGCGAAGGCGGCCUGCUGGGCUUUUACUGACGCUGAGGCUCGAAAGUGUGGGGAGCAAACAGGAUUAGAUACCCCAGUAGUC